rnacentral:lncRNA from 1 species
UUCUUAAAUAGGUCGCGCCUGCGCCUAAUUGAGUCUAUUAAAACCUGCACAUUGAGUUUUGCUGGCUACAAUGCAGUGCGGCUGGCGAGAGCUGUCUCCACGAUUCGCUUCGAGCGUGUCGAUUUCGCCGUUCUUUAUGUUGGCGGAAACCACCUUGAAAGCAACAUGGAUCCACAAGAAGUAUGCGACAACAUCAAGGUAAGUCUACUGAAAUCACAAAAUUCUAAACAUUAAGCGCUGAUAUUUGCGUUUUCUUUUAAAUUUUAGGCCUUAAUUGUUCAACGAGACGUGGCCCCCGUCGUGCUGGUUUUCAAGGUGCUCCCUCGCUGCCUAGAAGAUGCUGAUGCGGAACAGAAAAUGCAAAAACGUCGCUUGCUCAACCGCAAAUUGACGGCUUCGCUGAAGCGCAUGCCGUGUCUGCGGAAUUUGAACCCCGAGCUUUCCAGAGUUCCUUGGAAAAUCCUCCCAUGCACCUGCCAUGUACAUUGCCCCUCCUCCUCGACGUGGCGUGCAAGAUGGCAGCAGCAGCUGUGGAACAGUUGAAGAGGCGAAGAAAGGUCCACUUUAUAAUAGGUUGUAUGUAAAUAAAACUGAUCGAACACAA